AGAUGAUGGAGCUGCUGACUGGAGAGGUUCCUGUAAGGUGUCAGGAUGUGGCGGUGUAUUUCUCCCUGGAGGAGUGGGAGUAUAUAGAAGGACAGGAGGAUCUGUACGAGGAGGCCAUGAUGGAGGAGCUCCGGCCUCUGACAUCUCCAGGUUCUGACUCCAGGAGGAGAAGUCCCCCCGAGAGAUGUCCCCGUCCUCUGUAUUCCCAGGACUGUCCAGAGGAGAAGCUCCCAGAGAACCAUCAGGUAGAUGGAGCUGAGCCCUAUACACAUCUAUAUAGGGGGGUCCUGCAGUCAUAUAGGGGUCAUAGAUGGUGAGGGUCUCUUAUGUGGAUCUGUUAGAUUUCCCACCUGUCUGCUGUAUUGUCCUGAAUUGUUACAGAUGACAAAUCAGGGGGAAGAUGUGACUGAUAUUAAAGUG